GUAGUGAUGCCAGCUGGUGUCACUCUUUAAUUGGACCGUCUUUUUGAAAGCCAGAUAUAUGGCUUCUGUCAACAGAAAAUUUCCAGGCAUCACAAACUCACCGCAUAGGAUAGAGAGAGUCAGGGAAAAUCCAUUAAAAGAGUAAAAUCUACCGCGUAGGAGAGAGAGACCCAGGAGAGAGCGCGCACACAAAGGUACAAGCCAGAUGCUGCUGAUGACGAAGAUAGUGGAUCCAAGGUAACGGUUGAAGUAUACAUCUGAUACAAACCCACGAGAGGUAUAAACACAGUUCUGGGAAGCCGGAAACGAGGGAGAUGACCGGCGGUCUAAAGUUUUGCCGCUGGUUGCCACAUGUGAGAUAGCCACGCAAUUUCAGGUUACCACAACCCAACAUUUGCUACUUCAAUCGUAGUCCUGAUUAGGGCUUCAAUCGAAGGUAGGCGUCUGAUUAGGGCUCCAAUUUCAGUUUAGAACGACCAGAUUAUAGCGGCUGUGUGGAAACAACAGUAACUCCUGUUUUCACCAGAUUAAGCAGAAGGCUAAGCAUGGUGGCAAUGGAAGAUGAAAGGUAAAUAAACUACAUAAUUGAACUCUUUAUGAGUUAUGGCUAUGCUAAAUGUUAUAUUUACCAACCGAUAGCAUUGAGAUAACAGUCUGAAACUACCAAAGGUGCUGGAUUGAUUCCCUGUCAUAACAUUAACCAGAUUCAACCAACGACCGUCCCAACGAAUAGUCUAUAGAUCCUAGGCGUCCAUAUGUGCAGCUGAGAUUACCCCACAUGUUUAACUCUGUUUUACCCAUUUAAGCCACAUUUGUCUUUUAAUCCUUUUUGAGCUUUGCGGAAGAGAGAUGAGAACGAGAAGAGAGAGGAACAAUUAAGAACGGGGAGAAGGGCGGUAAACAGAGGGUGGUCACCAUCGUCACACCACCACCACCACCACGGUUAUAAUCUGGUGUCUCAGUUGCGGUGAGCAUGUGCAUGGUUGAUUAUCGGACUUCAAACUCAUCUCCGAGAUCAAAAGUACUUCAGAUUAUUCUUAGGUGAAGAAGGGAAUAUAGGCUUCUUUUAUAAACUUUUAUGUUGUUGUACCAAGAUAAUGUGUAAAGGUUUGUGGAUCAAUGAUGACAAAAGAGCAGCGAUAUGCAAUGCUGCAAUGCUGAUACCCAUUGGAUAUUUUCUAAUAAGGUAUGGACUUUAUAAGCCGAGCCUGUUCACUGGCCAGCCCUAGAAGCCCAACCCAUCAUCGAUUGCCCCAGAAUAAAUAACGAUUCUUAAACCCGAAAAGAAACAAGAACAACCCAUGAAGCCCAAAAAAGGUCCCCAAAUGGAACGGGUAUCAAGUAUUGGGCUUAGAAAUGAUUCAAUCUUACAAAUAAAAACUGGGUCUCUGAAGGAAUUUCUCACUUUGGGGAAGAAAUUAGGCCAAGUGCAAUUUGGUACAACUUUUCUUUGUAUAGAAAAGUCAACCGGUCAACUAUAUGCUUGCAAAUCGAUUAUAAAAAAAAAAGUUGACCGAAGAAGAUCAAAUACUGCAUCAUUUUACGGAUCACCCGAAUGUUAUAGCAAUGAAAGGGGCUUACGAGGAUGCAAUCGCGGUUCAUGUUAGGAAUUAUGUGUAGGUGGCGAGCUUUUUGAUAGGAUUAUUCAAAUUGGACAUUAUACUGAAAAAAAAGGCGUCUGAGCUUACAAGAACGAUUGUUGGUGUUGUGGAAGCAUGUCAUUCUUUAGGUGUUAUGCUUACGGAUUUAAAGCCUGAAAAAUUCUUGCUUGUGGAUAAGAAAGAAUAGAUUGCUGAUGCAAGAAAAAAUGUUUUUUCUUUUUGUUUUUAAGAUUGAAGACCAGCAAUAA